GCCUUAGCUUGGGCGGAUUUGGGGGGUCCUGAGGUUUGCCAAGAAGUACUAAUUGCCAUGCCCCUUUAACUCAGGAACACCAAUCUGCAAGAAUGUCACCAGAUCCCAAAGCCACAGAAUCUUCCUUUCUAGCUGAGGCUGGGCACGAGGCCUCCCUGAGGAGGCACAGAUGGGGAGGGGAACAGGCAGCCAGCAGGACCUGCCUGCUUCCUUCCGGGUUUGCUGCUUGUCUCAUCAACUCACAGGUCAGCAGAGGAAAUUCAUCCUUGAGGUAUUGCUAUGGUUUCCACGAGCCAACUUGCAAGCUGUCAUCACCCAAGAAGAUGGCCAUUUGUGGGACCUGACUGCCACACUCCUCCACCACACCAGCUCUCCCAGAGCUUUUAAGGAGCCUCAGCAUUCUUCUGCCCAGGGGCAGGGACAGCUCCAAGACAAAAGACUGAGGCUGAGGAGACAUACCGGCAGACACAGGACAGGAUGUGGCAGAGCCUGGGUUUAGCUCUGUAGCUGCUGCCUCCCAAGGCCAGUGUUUUCAGUAAUAAUUAUUUAUAAUUAGCGUGUGUAGUUACAAUAAAUAUAUCAUAAUGCUUAUUAAUCCUUAACCAUUUGGUCAGUGGGUAAGUGGGUGCUACUGUCUCAAGUUGGCAUUUGCCCCCUCUAGGGAGGCUGGCUUAUUGUCCCUUAGACUCCCCAGCACUAAGUGUGCACCUGGCCCGCGCUGGUCGGAGCUGGCAGCCCUCAGAGUCAGGAUCCCUGUUAGGAGUGCCUUGGUCUCCAGAAGGCUGUCUGUGCCCCACCCUCUUUCCUAUAGAGCUGGACUCCAGGAGCCUGGCCUGAGGGCUGCCUGGGCAGGUUGCCAGUGCAGAGAACUAAUGGGCAGGCGCACUGUGAGCUCCAGGAAGUGGUUGGCUGUUCCUGGGCUGGUCUGCAGCCUGCCUUGGACAUGACGGGUAUAGACAGGAGCUGAGACUAUUACUUUCCCAGAGCCCAGCAGCUCUGGGCCAGGCCUACAGGCUUCCUUUAGCAGGGAGGGCCUCAGCCUUGGCCACACCUUCCCUGCUGGGCCCUGGCCUCACUUUCCUUUGUCUGGCUAACCCUGUUCCCCACCAGCUUUUUGUAACAGAGUGUACACUCUUGGCCCUGAUAUCCAUGUAACCUGCUUCUCACAAAACAGGAUGGUUGGCAGGCUGACUCAGCUAGCACCCUGGUGGGAAACAGGACAGUGGGCCUCAGCUCCAGCUUUUCUUUGCCUGUAUUCCUUGGGGAGCUGGGCUGCCUUGGCUUACCUGGGUCAGAAAUAACCUCGGCUUAAGCAGCAGCCUCGAGCUGUCAGAUGGAGGCAAGAGCUUUGAGCUCCUGCAGUUGGGGACACAAAGAAAGGGACAAGCCCUUUCCCAGGAGUCUGAUCAGGGUUAGGGUUAACCCCACUUAGCUGGGGACCUUGGGGAAAGCCAUCUGCCUCUCUGAGCCUGUUGCCUCAUUUGUUCAAUGGUAAUAGUGACCUGCAGGACACAUCUAGUUUCUAGGCUUAUUUGAAUGUAGAUAUGAAGUGGUCCCUUCUUCUCCCUUCCAGGAAGGCACUUCCAGCAGAGAAGUCUGGGAGAGGUCUGCUUGCACUGUGCUGCCAGGAAGUGAGGUUUGAGUCUCAGUGUGUUGGAUGGUGCCUUCCAUCCUGAAUCUCUACAAAGAAGACCUUUCCUUCAGUUUCCUGUCUGGCCCUGUUGCCCUGCCAGACCCCGUUGGGAUGGGGGUUUUGGACUGAGACCUGCUUGCCCUGCAUGCCUCUCUGGCCUGGCCCAUGGAGGCACCUUCCCCUCCUUGAGGUUCAUCCUGCAAGUCCAGACACCGUCCGUUCCAAGGCUGCACUCUGGGCCUGGGCCAGAGGAGCCGCUGCAGAGCUCUUCCACUGCUGCCAGCUGCUUGGGGUGCGGGUGCCCGAGCACAGGCAGGGAGGGCUUUCUGUUUGCCUUGGCUGGUGGGGGAGACAUUAGCGCUUGCUUUCUGUUUUGUAUCUACCAGGUAGAGCCUGUGAUGUUCAAAAAGCAGUCUUGAGCCUUGAGUGAGUUUGGGGCAUAUCCCCGAUGGCCUGACCCCUGGAGGUGUCGAGGUUGAAAUGGCUGAUCUGGGGGAUCACUUUUUCCUGACCCCAUACCCCUGGGGUUCAUGUGGGGCCAACUCUGCCACUCUGGCUUGAGAGGCAGCCAUAUAUCCAGGCUGGACAUGGAGACCUCGCCCUUGGGACUGUUGCAGCAGCUAUGUGGAAAGAGGCAUUCCAGAUUCCACAGUUUGAAAGAUUAUAUCUACAAAACCACUGCAUUCAUGAAGCCAGAGCCACUUUUCCCAAAUACAUAACAAUGUAUCCAGAACUAUCUGAGCUGAUACUGUAAGCAAGCUCAUAUGAAGACAUGGAGUUGAAAUCACUCUAGCCAGAAAGAGAGACCUGCUUUUUCUUUUUUUGGCUUGGGACCCACAGAUGCUUCAGCCAGAUCUCCUUUUUGGUCUUCUCUCUGCCCAGGUCAGCUCUUGGAGGGUGAGGAGAGCAUUUCGCUGAUAUGCAUGCUGUGAGCUCGACCUGGGUCAUCUCCUUUGGGACCCAGAGUCAUCCCUGGGUGCAGCUGUGCUGAAGACAGAUGCACCUCUGGGCCUUCCAAUUUUGUGAGCCAGUACAUCCUUUCCUUCAUUUGAGUCAGCUUGCAGGUGAGAGUCCCAGCUAAUACAGCUUAGCCAGACCACGCCCUUCAGUGGCGCUUCCCCAAGUUCCGGAAGCAAAAUCAACUAAUGGCCAGUCCAGUUCACCUCCCUGGGGGUGGGCAGCCACUACUAAAUGCUUUACAUACAUCAUCUCACAUCCUCUCAACAACUCUAGAGGAGGUACUGUUAGCCCCAUUUUACUGCAAGGGAAAGUGAGGCAUGUGGAGGUCAAGACACAGCUGGAAUGUGGGUGUAUCACAUCCAUCUCACGUGCCUCUGCUGAUUCUCUUGGCUUCACUGUCCACCCAACUCCUGGCUGCCUGCUCUGCCCC